GUCUUGAUAUCAACAGAGCUCACAGCCAGAGUCCAACAUGGAGAGCAUCUCUUUGGAGUAGAAGAGUGGUACAGAAGAAAUGAAGGCAUGGUGUCUCAUGGAGCUGAUGUCAUGGAAGAGAAAACGCUGUGUAAGGCAUGAUACUCUACACCCAGGAAGAAAUCACAAAAGCCUCCAGAGUACACAGGAAACAAUAAUGAAGAGAAAAUAACAAAAAGGACAACAACAAAGAUCACAAUUCCUGGAAACAUACAUUGCAGAAGAUUAGAGAGGUGAUAGAAAAGCAAUUAUGCACUCACUUUGUGUGACUGGUUAGUACAAAAAUGAACUUCAAUUAUAUUGUGAAGAAAAUUUUGAAAAUAUGACCAGAAAAAAAAUGCCUUAAGAAGAACUGGAAUUUUCAGGGAAUUUGUGGAGCAAAAUUUGAUCCAGGCAGAAGAUUCAUUCCAAGGAAAAUAAAUACAUAGAGUCAAGGA